rnacentral:misc_RNA from 1 species
AUUCAGUGGAUUAUCAUUCAUGUGACACAAGUUGGAACCCUCUAUGGGCCCCAAGACCACGGCUCAGUGGUUCAAGUAGUGUGUCUUAUUCAAUGACAAACUUUUUCUGGGCUGGUAGAAAAUAAGUAAGGGGAGGAAUUCCAAUUAACUAAAACAGUCUACAUACUGAAAGUGAAACUGUGGUUUGUGUUGCAGUGUUGAUACUGAGGCUACCUGGAUAUAGUGAUUAAAUAUUAUAAUCUAGUGCCGACGAGUAUUGGGAGUAUAGUGAACUAGGGAUUGAGACUAUCAGACCAUGUGUAGUUGUAAUUCUGUUUGGAUUAUGUUGAUAUAGUGUCCUUGUAUUAAGAUAGAGAAGCUCAUUGAGUGAGGAGUAUAUAUUACACGUUGUCUCGUUGUGUGGAUUCUUGUGAGAUAAAAUGCCAGUUCGGGACAGGUUACUAGAGUUUGAAGCCAAGAGGGAUCAGUAUGAAAGGGAAAGUAUGCG